AUGAAAGAGGAUGAAAAUGCUAAGCAGCAGUCUAAGCCAGAGGAAGUAUUUCCAUGGGACUAUCAGGCGGGGAGUUCGAAGAUGUCACCGUUUAGGAGUAGAUGUGGCUCCACAAAGAGGUCAAGAAACUCUUCCACUGUGAAACUUGAAAUAAAACUUCAAGAAUCUGAUGAUGAAUAUGAUCUUGUCAUUGAUGUGCCUCCACUCACUGUUGAUAAAAAGCCAAGAAUAACUAGGAACUGUAAAAACUGUAAUAAGGAAGAAAGACUGUGUGCUGCAGUAUGUGCAGAAAAACUGCAUGCUAGGAACGUAGCAAACAGCCCUUCUAAGUGUACAGUAGAAAAAUCAGAGGAAAUAGUCACUUUACAGAAGAAUAGCAGAGGUUUAAAUAAGUCUAAAAAAGUAGAUGAUGUUUCUCCAAAAAAUAAAACACAUUUGCCUAAUGUGAACACUGAAAUACCAAAGGUUUCCGAUAAUCUUGGGGAGCAAAGAAAUAUUCUUUCUUGUUCAAAGGAAAAACAUAUGCCUUCAGCUAUUUCUGUUGAGGCACAUAUGCAGAAGGAAAUUCUGAAACAAGAGAAUGCAGAAAGUAGCACGGUGGCUGAAGCAUCUCUUCAGGGACAUAGCACUAAUGAAAACUGCCUGACUAGCAAACGAGGAGCACAGUCUGUCUUGAACACUGGCUACUCAUCAAACAAUGAAGCUGUGUUAGAAGGAAGUCAUAAGGAAAUAACAGUAAAUACAGACAAAAUUCAGAGCACAGAAGAAAAUAAAGGUAGUGAUGUUCUAGAAGAUAAGUACCCUCAUCCGACUUAUUACUUAGCUGUGGGCAAGGAGGCUUGCCAUAAUACAGGUCUGAUCAAAAACAGUAAUAAUAGUUCUAUUGAAACUGCAUGUGCAAACAACAAAGACAGUGAAAUGGCUGUAUUUAAUUCAUCUUCUGAGAACACGGAAUCUAGUGCGGAGGAUACAGAGCUCUCAGAGUCAGAUGAUCCUAUAGAAGAGUGUCGGAGAAUUUUCUACGAGUUUGAAAGAGAAGCACAAAAGAAAGAAGGUGAUAAGCAGGUAUUUUGUUUCCCUUUUUCUGCUCGCUUUUUUGUAAGCAUACGAGGAAAGGAAGCGAUGUGUAGUCAAGUUCCGGUACUCUGUCCAAAAUAUGUGUUAGUAAAUGUUAAAUAUUUGAACCUUCACUACUAA
rnacentral:lncRNA from 1 species